rnacentral:rRNA from 2 species
GACGAACGCUGGCGGCGUGCCUAACACAUGCAAGUCGAGCGGGGUGCAGCAAUGCACCUAGCGGCGGACGGGUGAGUAACACGUGGGUAACCUGCCCUAUACAGAGGGAUAGCCAUCCGAAAGGAUGAUUAAUACCUCAUAAAGAAUAACUGCCGCAUGGCAGAUAUUCCAAAGGAGUAACAUCCGGUAUAGGAUGGACCCGCGGCCCAUUAGCUAGUUGGUGAGAUAACAGCCCACCAAGGCAACGAUGGGUAGCCGAUCUGAGAGGAUGACCGGCCACAUUGGAACUGAGAUACGGUCCAGACUCCUACGGGAGGCAGCAGUGGGGAAUAUUGCGCAAUGGGGGAAACCCUGACGCAGCAACGCCGCGUGAGUGAUGAAGGCCUUCGGGUCGUAAAGCUCUGUCUUCGCUGACGAUAAUGACGGUAAGCGAGGAGGAAGCCACGGCUAACUACGUGCCAGCAGCCGCGGUAAUACGUAGGUGGCGAGCGUUGUCCGGAAUUACUGGGCGUAAAGGGUGCGUAGGUGGACUAUUAAGUCAGAUGUGAAAUUCCAGGGCUUAACCUUGGAACUGCAUUUGAAACUGGUAGUCUAGGGUGCAGGAGAGGAAAGCGGAAUUCCUAGUGUAGCGGUGAAAUGCGUAGAUAUUAGGAAGAACACCAGUGGCGAAGGCGGCUUUCUGGACUGUAACUGACACUGAGGCACGAAAGCGUGGGGAGCAAACAGGAUUAGAUACCCUGGUAGUCCACGCUGUAAACGAUGAGUGCUAGGUGUAGGGGGUGUCAUGCCUUCUGUGCCGCAGUAAACGCAAUAAGCACUCCGCCUGGGGAGUACGGUCGCAAGACUAAAACUCAAAGGAAUUGACGGGGGCCCGCACAAGCAGCGGAGCAUGUGGUUUAAUUCGAAGCAACGCGAAGAACCUUACCAGGACUUGACAUCUACCUAAUACUGCAGAGAUGCGGUAGUGCCUUUCGGGGAAAGGUAAGACAGGUGGUGCAUGGUUGUCGUCAGCUCGUGUCGUGAGAUGUUGGGUUAAGUCCCGCAACGAGCGCAACCCUUGUCAUUAGUUGCUAACAGUAAGAUGAGCACUCUAAUGAAACUGCCGGGGACAACUCGGAGGAAGGUGGGGAUGACGUCAAAUCAUCAUGCCCCUUAUGUCCUGGGCUACACACGUGCUACAAUGGCUGUAACAAAGAGAAGCGAACUCGCAAGGGGGAGCAAAUCUUAGAAAAGCAGUCCCAGUUCGGAUUGCAGGCUGAAACUCGCCUGCAUGAAGAUGGAGUUGCUAGUAAUCGCGAAUCAGCAUGUCGCGGUGAAUACGUUCCCGGGCCUUGUACACACCGCCCGUCAAACCAUGGGAGUUGAGGGUACCUGAAGUAUGUGACCGCAAGGAGCGUCCUAGGGUAAAAUCAAUGACUGGGGU